GAUGAACGCUGGCGGCGUGCCUAAUACAUGCAAGUCGAGCGAACGGAUGAGAAGCUUGCUUCUCUGAUGUUAGCGGCGGACGGGUGAGUAACACGUGGAUAACCUACCUAUAAGACUGGGAUAACUUCGGGAAACCGUAGCUAAUACCGGAUAAUAUUUUGAACCGCAUGGUUCAAUAGUGAAAGACGGUUUUGCUGUCACUUAUAGAUGGAUCCGCGCUGCAUUAGCUAGUUGGUAAGGUAACGGCUUACCAAGGCAACGAUGCAUAGCCGACCUGAGAGGGUGAUCGGCCACACUGGAACUGAGACACGGUCCAGACUCCUACGGGAGGCAGCAGUAGGGAAUCUUCCGCAAUGGGCGAAAGCCUGACGGAGCAACGCCGCGUGAGUGAUGAAGGUCUUCGGAUCGUAAAACUCUGUUAUUAGGGAAGAACAUAUGUGUAAGUAACUGUGCACAUCUUGACGGUACCUAAUCAGAAAGCCACGGCUAACUACGUG
rnacentral:rRNA from 1 species